GACCUUAUAGCUCAGUUGGUAGAGCAAUGGACUGGCAAACCAAUGAUCGUGGGUUCGAUUCCCGCCACGGUCA